rnacentral:sRNA from 1 species
UCACCCGUUUGAUGUUCUGCUGAACUUUGUGUUGGGAACGGUUCGCCAAAACCGUUGGAUUGCUUGAACACAAUCAAUUUACCACACAACUUUCAUUUGUAACUGAUGACGGGUUUUUUA